rnacentral:rRNA from 1 species
UACGGGGGGGGCAAGCGUUGUUCGGAAUUACUGGGCGUAAAGGGCUCGUAGGUGGCCAACUAAGUCGGACGUGAAAUCCCUCGGCUUAACCGGGGAACUGCGUCUGAUACUGGAUGGCUUGAGUUCGGGAGAGGGAUGCGGAAUUCCAGGUGUAGCGGUGAAAUGCGUAGAUAUCUGGAGGAACACCGGUGGCGAAGGCGGCAUCCUGGACCGACACUGACGCUGAGGCGCGAAAGCGUGGGGAGCAAACAGG